CCCAACUCCGACCACCUCCUCCCCUCCCCGCACCCACCCCCCUCUUCCCCGGCGAGCUAGGCGUGGAUUCGAGAGCGGCCGGCGGGCGCUGCGGCGGAGGUCCCCGCCGAAUUCACUCUGAUUCCUCCCCGCGGCGAGCACCCCGUCCAUGGACGGCGCCGGCGCGUGGCCUGCUAAGCAACUCCCAUUUCUCCCCGCCAAUCUCUCUGUCUAAUCUAGCACACGGCUACUGAUGGGUCCUCCGGCCUACACCGCUUCCCUCUCUCCCGGUUCUACUCUCUUCUCCAACUCCCGAAUGCCGCCGCCGCCGGCGCCGCCGUGUCUUCUCCGGCCGGGCCUGGGGGUGUCGGGGAGAGCGGAGGUGGGCGUGUCAUCGGCCGCCGGUAGGUACGGCGGCGGUCGCCUCACCGCGCCGCAGGAGAAGCGCCGCUCCGCACCGCCGCAGGAGAAGCGCCGCCCCUCGGACUCAUCCCAACUGCCGGAACGGAAGCGGCAUUGGAAAGCGGGGGAGUUCCCGGGGGCCGGCGGCGGCAGGGACGGCGGCCGCGCCGCCCCGCCGCAGGAGAAGCGGCACUGGAAGGCGGGGGAGUUCCCGGUGCCCUCCGCCGGCGGCAGGGACGGCGGCCGCCCCGCCCCGCGGCAGGAGAAGCGACACUGGAAGGUGGGGGAAUUCCCGGGGACCUCCGCCGGCGGCCCCGAUUCGAAGGCGGCGAGGACUCCCAUCAAGAACGUCAAGAAGCGGCUGGACGCCCGCGCGGACGCCAAGGCGUGGGCGUGCACCGUCACCGAGGCCCUCGCCGACCGCAUCAACUCCAAGAAUUGGAAAGAGGCGCUCCAGGUCUUUGAGAUGCUCAAGGAGCAGCCUUUCUACCAUCCAAAAGAAGGCACCUACAUGAAGCUCAUCGUGCUGCUUGGUAGAUCCGGCCAGGCUGCCCAAGCGCACCAACUCUUCAACGAGAUGCUGCAACAAGGAUGCCAACCCACCCCUGAGCUCUACACUGCCUUGAUUGGAGCCUACUGCCGUAGCGGCCUAAUGGAUGAUGCGCUCCAGCUCCUCACUGACAUGAAGUCCUCUCCUCUGUGCCAGCCUGAUGUCUACACCUACAGCACCAUCAUCAAGGCCUGUGUUGAUGCCACCAGGUUUGAUCUCAUUGAUGCUAUGUACAAAGACAUGGCUGAGCGCUUGAUAUCACCCAACACGGUCACGCAGAACAUUGUCCUCAGUGGCUACGGAAAGGCUGGACGGUUGGAUGACAUGGAGAGAGUGCUCUCUGACAUGCUUGACAGCACAACCUGCAAACCAGAUGUCUGGACAAUGAACAUUAUCUUAAGCCUGUUUGGAAACAUGGGGCAGAUUGAAUCAAUGGAGAAAUGGUAUGAGAAAUUCCGAAGCUAUGGGAUCGAACCAGAAACUCGCACGCUUAACAUUCUCAUUGGUGCCUAUGGGAAGAAGCGAAUGUAUGAUAAGAUGUCUGCAGUUAUGGAGUACAUGCGCAAGCUAGCGUUUCCAUGGACUACUGCCACGUACAACAAUGUGAUUGAGGCAUUUGCUGAGGCGGGUGAUGCCAAAAAUAUGGAACACACAUUUAACCAGAUGCGCUCUGAGGGGAUGAAGCCAGAUACAAAGACCUUCUGUUGUCUAAUAAAUGGGUUUAGCAAAGCAGGCCUUUUCCAUAAGGUGGUGGGCAUGGUCAAGCUUGCUGAGAGACUUGAUGUGCCUGCAAAUACGUCUUUCCACAAUGCUAUUCUUGAGGCAUGCGCAAAAGCAGAUGAUCUGAUGGAGAUGGAGAGGGUCUUCAUGCACAUGAAGCAUAAGCAGUGUGAUCCGGAUGCCAUGACAUAUUCUAUCUUGGUGGAAGCUUAUCGUAAGGAAGGAAUGACUGACAAGAUUUAUGCUUUGCAUCAGGAGAACCCAACUUUGGUUCCAACUGAUUUUGUCAUGGUGUAACUGACUCGCUGACUGAAUAAUGGUUCAGACAUAUUUAGGCAUGGCUGCAUUGGUGGAAAAGUUCUUUACUGUCCACGUUUGGAGUUGAUAAUGCUACCAAGUAGAGUGGCAGCCAUUCUCGAACUUCAUUUUGUCAGUUGGCCUGCAGAGUUAGUAUCUGUAUCUCCUUCCAUGAACUCUGGGGGGUUUCACUAUAUCAAUUGAAAUAGGUCAGUAAUGUCUGUAGCUCUGAUACGAGAAGUCAUACGGCUUGAAAGCUCCCCAGCAAGAUGUGGCCAUCUUGAGAUGCUUUGAGUUUAGCACAGAGUUGAUCAAUGGUAACAAAAUUAUUAAAAAAAUGUGGAUUCCUGCAUAAAAAGGAAGGUUCGAUUGGAGUCUACAGAAAGCUCUUGGAGUGGCCUCUAUGGGUAAGGGAGAAAUAGCCGGUAUGUGAAGUGCCUGAAAACCUUUUACUUCAAGCUCUUCUAGAUCAAGCUUGCUAGUUGGUGCAAAGCUUCCUUGGGCUUGUCUGUAUGAUGGUGAACCCCACAGACAUGUCCAACAAGAGUACUCUUGCCGACUCUACAGGAAGGCCCAGGACCGACAGUUGGUAGGACCUCAAGUUCUUCAGCACCAUGAGGUUGUGUGUGCAACAGAAAGUUGAUAACAAGUUCUGCUUCCAUCUGCCGGGCAAACAUGCCGUUGCCCAACAGGAGAUGCAUGCUGUAAGGUUGGCGGUACUGGCGAGGGUAGCUUGUCAGGAAGAGCGCAAGCUCAUUUGCAUCAAGGAUGACGGACCUCAAAUUGUCAAGUGCCACUCGCAUUCCUUCAAGAAUCUGUGCACCUCUACCGGAGAAACAGAAGCCUUUCCUAGAAUUUACUUUGGACAAAGAUGAAGAGUGACUCACAGGCUGAUCUUUGGCAUCCUCCUCGUCAUGAGGUUGGUAUCUGAAGGUGUCGAGCAUGUAGUGGCCCUUGUGCAUGGCGUUUCUCAGCAUAUUCAGCUGGUGGAGCAUGGCUUGGUUUGCGAUGUGCUGUCCCAUGGCCUCAUCGACAAUGACCUGUGCCCGCAGGAGAGCCCUUUGCAGGCUGUCCUCCAUUUCCAGUGCUGGCGGCUUGGAACACUUGUUGAUGAUGAAAUUUAUGGAUCUGGAGGCCAGUUCACCCAGGAUGGAAGCAACUAAAAGCUCCAUUUGGGGCUCUUUCCUCAGGAAGAUAAUGCAGGAGAUAGGCAAGACUAUAGGCAGCAAGUAUGAUGUUUCUGAAACUCUCUAUGUUCUAUAUUCCCUAUCAAAAAUCCAAGGAGAGCAAGGAUGUAUAAGAGCAACUGAACUCAAGGAUAAACUGAGAGAGUCAAUAGUCCAUGAAAACCAUGUUUGACCUUUGGAGUUGGGAUCACUUUUGCCUUCGGCUGAUUGUUCUGAUCUACUAGCUGUGUGAACAGAAACAGCCAUUGACUGCUGAAUCCUGAGCCUUUGCUUCGUAAAGCACUGAUCCAUCACCAUUUAUGAUUUAUGUAAUUGAUUCCUUACUCUUCCUGUUUCUAGUCUUGGAUCUAAGACAGAGGUCUUGAUCAAAUACUUGUCUUCGCAUAAUGAAUAGCACUCUUGUUGCAAGGAGUCCAGCCUCCAAUAUGGAGAUGCUUUGUCUGCUACUCCUGGGAAACAUGCUAUAAUAAUUAUAUAUCAAAACUUGGCGUGUGUUUUUUCUUC